UUGUAGCCAUAGUUCAGGGUCCCCUUGAAGAUCACAGAUGCGUUCUGAAUGGAGACAUCAACAGAUUUGGCCUCCACCAGCUCAACCUGGCUGUUGGCAAUGGACAGGUGGCUGAUCUGGAUGCUGUGAGGACAGACGCUCCUGCCUCCGUGUUCCUGUCCUGUUUGAGAUCCUGCCCUGACUUCCUUCAAUGAUGGGCUGUGAUACAGAAGUGUGAGCUAAAUGAGCCCCUUCCUCCUCGAGUUGCUUUGGCCAUGGUGUUUCAUCAUAGCGAUAGGGACCCUGACUAAGACGCAGGGGCCAAGAACUGCCUGCCCUGUUUUCACUGGGACCAACUCACCGAUUGCUGCCACUCACAGCCCCUGGGAAGGAGCCAAGGAUGCAGGGACUUGGACAGGACAGCCCAUAUGAGGAAGGCCCAAAGAAAUGGAGGGCAGGAGUAGACUCACUUGGCACUGUCUCAAGAGUCACUCCAACGUCAAGAGUUCAAAGCUGCUCAGGAACAGGAGCAAGCCAAGCCUCACAGUUUCCAGGAUUCGGAGAGGCCAGUCUGCUGCUCCUGGGCACACUACCCUCAAGGUUCAUACCCACAGCCAUGGUGAGGACCCCCCUCAGCUGAGAGGGUGGGUGAAUGGAAUGUAGCCUUUAGCCCAGACAUCGCUUCCUGGGUAUCCCACCCACACAGGAGCCUCCAGUGUUAGGGUCAUGAGGACUUCCUGGGGCUAUUGUCCUAGCUGCUGUUUGUGUACAACUCCAGGGCAACAGAGGGCAACGACCCAGGGUGCCCCAUCAGGGAACUAGCGGUCACUGGACUAAGGAGAGAGGCAAACUCCACACUCUAGUACAGGGGCCUCACACCAGUGAAGUAGUGUGAUUGGGAGGGUAAUGGAUUAAAAAAAACAAAACAAAACAGUCAAACCCAUAAACGCCCACCCUUCAAGCUUGGGAGACUAUCUCAGUCCUUAUAACUGAAGGUCAGGAAAAGCGUAUGCCUGUACCUCCAGUACCUGGGAAGCAGAGUCAGGAAUUCUAGGCUAUCAUCAGCUGCAUAGUAAGUUUGAGGCCAACCCUGGCUACGUGAGCCUUUGCCUUAAAAACAAAACCCCUCAACCAGACAUGCCUGCUUCAGCUUUUUAUUUAGCUCGCUGGUGGUCCUUCACCUUUGGGCAGGCUCAGGGGCAGCAAAAUUGGCAUCGUGGUCACCUGUGGUAGUCCGGGACUUCUGAUGGGUCUCCAGGGCCCUUUCUCCUCUCCCCUGAGGCUAGUCCUGCUGCUGGGGCCCUUCAGGAUCAGCCGCAGACAGCUGCAGCCACAGCACUGGUCAUGAUGCUCCAGGACUUCUGGAGUAUGUGAGAAGAUGUCUAUUCCCUCUUCAUAGAUAGGGCCAAAGAAAUGAUUCCGGCCAAGUCUAGGUUGUUGAACCCAUGAGUUGGGGCAGAGGAAGGGGUUUAGUUACGGGAGCAUGAAUGACUCAAAGGCUUCCAUAUCACUUAAAAGCCCAUGCCAGGACUCCCAUGGGACUCUUCCAAGCCCAGGACACCUCAGUGACUGACAGAGAGCUGGCAAGGUCACAAGGCCCUGGCAAAGGCCCUUUUCACCCUUCAUCCGAGAAGCCCCUCUUUGCAGUGAAUGAUAAUAAAUACAGAGACCGUAACUCCUUAAAGUGUUGGUAGUCAGUGAUGGUUGAGUGCUCAGCCCUCAACAAGACAUUCAUACUGUCCCUCUAAAACACUGAGGGGUCGGGGCAGAAAAAAACCUAAGAGCCAGGAUAAGGAGGAGGGCUACAAAAUGCCAUCUUCUGGUAAGACACAACUGUAAUCACAAACGCAGAGCAGCUGGGGCUGCCGGCCAGUGGCCAGGCAUGGAUCUGAGAGGCUCGGGUAGAGUCUGGGAGGCAGGGAGUUAUUUUCUAAGUUGUCUUCCCACCAGAGCCUACCAGAGUCCCAUGAGUAACUUCAAAUCAAUACUCAACAGGUGGCCUUGGUUAAAGCGUCUCUCACAAAUAAAGAAGACGUGCAUCUUAGGAAGGGUCUUGUGGGGAGGAGGCGGGGGUUGAUAGGGAUGGUAGAGAGAUAAGAGAUAGUGUGGGGAAAAUAAUCAGAAUGCCUUAGGUACGUAUACAAAAUGGUCAUAAAAUAAACUUCACUAAACGUUAGAAAUAAUAAUGAUAAAUAAAUAAGUAUUUUUUAGAGUUAAAAAGAUACCCGAGUGGAGAGCAGAGCAACUUGCUCUGUGCACUGAAUCACGUCAGCAAUAUUGCCUCCUUCUUUGAAAGAACUUGACUUUGAGAACAUGGUACCACUCUGCCUGCAGGG